AACGCACGAGACCUGCGGACCUGCGGAGGGAUCAUUACCGAGUUAUACAACUCCCAAACCCACUGUGAACCUUACCUCAGUUGCCUCGGCGGGACCGCCCCGGCCGCCGCGCAAGCGGCGCCGGACUCCAAGGCGCCCGCCGCAGGGACCCAAAACUCUUUUGCAUUACGCCCAACGGCGGGAAUUUUUUCUCUGAGUGCAUAAGCAAAACAAAUGAAUCAAAACUUUUAACAACGGAUC
rnacentral:misc_RNA from 1 species